GACGUAGGAGGCAAGCGUUAUCCGGAUUUAUUGGGCGUAAAGCGCACGCAGGCGGUCCGCCAAGUUCACGGCGACAGUCACCGGCUUCACCGGUGAAGGAUGGUGAACACUGGCGGACUUGAGAGCGAGAGAGGGACAUGGAACUCCAGGUGGAGCGGUGAAAUGCGUAGAGAUCUGGAAGAACACCGAAGGCGAAGGCAGUGUCCUGGCUCGUAUCUGACGCUAAGGUGCGAAAGCUAGGGGAG
rnacentral:rRNA from 1 species